rnacentral:rRNA from 1 species
UACGUAGGGUCCGAGCGUUUGUCCGGAAUUAUUGGGCGUAAAGGGCUCGUAGGCGGUCUGUCGCGUCGGGAGUGAAAACUUACAGCUUAACUGUGAGCGUGCUUCCGAUACGGGCAGACUUGAGGUAUUCAGGGGAGAACGGAAUUCCUGGUGUAGCGGUGAAAUGCGCAGAUAUCGGGAAGAACACCCGUGGCGAAGGCGGUUCUCUGGGACGGUACUGACGCUGAGACGCGAAAGCGUGGGGAGCAAACAGG